AACAUUUGGUGCUUUCAUAAGAUAAACACUGGCAAUGUUUUGAAUUUGACAUAGGUAACAAUUUAUUUAAAAAUAAACCAUUUAUCCGCUUAUUUCACUUUAAAAAAAAUCAUAACUAAAAAACAGGCAAAGGAUACCCAGAGGACAUAAAAACCCACAAGUCGAAAAUAAACUGACUAAGCCAUGGCUAAAAAAGAAAACAAAAAAACACUCUGAAAACAGUAAACAUUACAGAAGAAUAAAAAAAACGUAGACAAUUUCAUCUAACCUUUACAACAUACCCAAUUUAAUAACCAUACUCUAUCGAUGUACUCUUCGAUUCUAUUAUAUAAGUGCAUUAAUUUUAAAGCAAUGUACUGAUUCGUUCAUUCAAAUAAAGCAGUCAAUAUAAAAGUUUCGACACCAUUCAAACUCUGGUUCAUGGACAUUUUUAUAAAACUUAAGCUUAUGAUCGAAGAGAUUUGCAGAAGGCUUAUUCUCUUUGGUAAAGUGCUACCCAAAGUAUUUUUUCGUGAAAGCAGCAUACCAUCCGUAUAUACAUUGGACAUCCGUUCUGUCCGGACAUCUUUUUUUUUUCAUCCGUUAGGCGUCCGUUCGUGCUAUCCGGUAAGGUGUGACCGAAGCACGAACGGACGUCUAACGAAUGAAAAUAAAAGUUGUCCGUUGACAGAAUUGUUAUCCGUUGGGAGUCCGUUGAUGUACUGACCGAAUACAGCGGACGUGUAACAGAUGCCUUACGGACACAUACCGGAUAUGCAAAGUACGAGAAACGGAAACGUACCGGACAGAACGGAUGUCGAACGUACAUCCAACGGAAGAGUACCGCAUAAAACGCACACCUAACGGAAGCGUACCGGAUAAAACGGAUGAACAAUAUAUACGGAAAAAUAAAAGGCAACAAUAAUAAUACAUGUACAUCGCAUAAAUAUUCAAAAUGUUUAGGUGUAACUGUUUUUGGUUUAUUCUUCAAAAUACCGCAUAAGGUCAGCGUCUGAAAUAAGAGCUGCUUGAUUGUGAAGAAUCGCCC
rnacentral:lncRNA from 1 species